GGAUGUGAGGGUGAUCUGAAUGUGACACUUGUCACCCCCAUUGAUCACUGGGGCUGAUGCAGCUGAUCUGGAUGGCUAGCCAGUUGUCCCUUUCCUCUCUCACCCCUCCAUGUGUCUGCCUCUCAAAGCUGCAUGCCAGGUUGAAGAGGAUAACCUUCCCUGAAGAGAGGAGGACCAGCCUUUGGUCAAGGGUCUAUGANAAGUUGCACUCCAUGGCUAGAACCUCCAAACAUGCUCUCAAGAAAGAGCAGUGUCAAUCAAUUAAGUAUUGAUUGUAAAUUUGGCCAAUCUAU
rnacentral:snRNA from 1 species